CUGAAAAUCAUAUUACUGCUAUAUAAAUCCAUGGCUCUCCCACAUCUUGAAUACUGUAUACAGAUGUGGUCUCAUCUCGAAAAAGAUAUACUGGCAUUAGAAAAGGUUCAGAGAAGGGCAACUAAAAUGAUUAGGGGUGUGGAAUGGAUCCCAAAUGAGGAGAUUAAAGAGGCUAGGAUUUUUCAGCUUGGAAAAGAGGAGU